GACGAACGCUGGCGGCGUGCUUAACACAUGCAAGUCGAACGGAAAGGCCCUGCUUUUGUGGGUUGCUCGAUUGGCGAACGGGUGAGUAACACGUGAGUAACCUGCCCUUGACUUUGGGAUAACUUCAGGAAACUGGGGCUAAUACCGGAUAGGAGCUCCUGCUGCAUGGUGGGGGUUGGAAAGUUUCGGCGGUUGGUGAUGGACUCGCGGCUUAUCAGGUUGUUGGUGGGGUAGUGGCUUACCAAGGCUUUGACGGGUAGCCGGCCUGAGAGGGUGACCGGCCACAUUGGGACUGAGAUACGGCCCAGACUCAUACGGGAGGCAGCAGUGGGGAAUAUUGCACAAUGGGCGGAAGCCUGAUGCAGCAACGCCGCGUGCGGGAUGACGGCCUUCGGGCUGUAAACCGCUUUCGCCUGUGACGAAGCGUGAGUGACGGUAAUGAGUAAAGAAGCACCGGCUAACUACGUG
rnacentral:rRNA from 1 species